AACGAACGCUGGCGGCAGGCUUAACACAUGCAAGUCGAACGCAUCGCAAGAUGAGUGGCAGACGGGUGAGUAACGCGUGGGAAUCUACCGUGCCCUACGGAAUAGCUCCGGGAAACUGGAAUUAAUACCGUAUACGUCCUUCGGGAGAAAGAUUUAUCGGGGUAUGAUGAGCCCGCGUUGGAUUAGCUAGUUGGUGGGGUAAAGGCCUACCAAGGCGACGAUCCAUAGCUGGUCUGAGAGGAUGAUCAGCCACAUUGGGACUGAGACACGGCCCAAACUCCUACGGGAGGCAGCAGUGGGGAAUAUUGGACAAUGGGCGCAAGCCUGAUCCAGCCAUGCCGCGUGAGUGAUGAAGGUCUUAGGAUUGUAAAGCUCUUUCACCGAUGAAGAUAAUGACGGUAGUCGGAGAAGAAGCCCCGGCUAACUUCGUGCCAGCCGCCGCCGUAAUAC
rnacentral:rRNA from 1 species